GGCUCGGGUGUUCAGGGACAUCUGCGCACAACAGAGCGUGUGCAGGAGCUGAGGCAGACGCAAGGCUGGGACGCCUGUGGAGGAGCCCUCGUGCACACACGUGAGCGUGGGACACCUGUUCAGGAAAUAGUUCAAACGUGAAAAAUGCGGAGAGUACAACACGAUGACCUCCCACGGGCAACACCUGGCCUCCGCAGCGCCAGAAGUGGAUGGAAGCCUUCAGAGGCUGCCGCGGAGCCCCCAGACUAUCGGUGCCGCCCCUCUGCAGUCCCGGCCCUGCCCGCCCCAUCGUCACAUGGACCAGAACAGUCUCUGCCGGGCCGAUGGCUGUGGAAGUGGCCCUGCUCUAGGAGGCGGGGGACAGGCCCCACCUCAUUUCCCGGUUUGGGGAGGUCAAAGCUCGGCCGCAGGACUUCUCACCUGCCCUCGUCUCUGCCCAGAGGGCUGGUGGGACCCAGUCGCUCUGCUCCGUGAUUCUGAAAGUUUACAACUUUUUUUUCAUUGUUACUUGUUUCUUGCACACAGUAACAGUAAAAAUAAACGUAUAGUUCUAUGUUUUGAAAAACACACACAGUUGUGUAACCCCCACCCCAGUCAAAAUACAGAAGAGUUGCACCUGCCAGAGCCUUAUCCCCUUACAGCAGUCCCUCACACCCCGCUCCCGCCAACCGCCGGUCUGUGCCCUGUCCCCAUAGUUCUGCAUCAUCUCGAUGUCACAUAAAUGGCAUCAGGCUGCGUGUAGCCUUUCAAGCAAGGCUCCUUUCCCGGGCAACAUGCCUUUGAGACUCGCCCACGUUGCGUGCGCAUCUCUUUGGGCUCCUUCUGUCACUGCAUGGAUGUGCCACUGUGUUUAUCUCGUCACCAGCUGAGGGACGUUUGGGUUGUUUCCAGUUUUUGGUGAUGAUGAAUAAAGCUGUGGCAAACAUUCAUUUAUGGGUUUUUGUGUGAACCUAGGUUUUUAUUUCUCCUGAGUAAACGCCUAGCUGUGGAAUGUUCGGGCCGCAUGAUAAGCGUGUGUUUAACUGUACAAGUACCUGCAAACCGUCGUCCAGCGUGGCUGUACCAGUCCGCAGUCCCACUCGACUCGGCGUUUUUAUUCUUUCUGUCAACACAUUCCUAUCAGGCCCUGUGCCAGACCAAGGACCCGAGUGGCCAAGACAAGCAAGGUCCUGCUCUCCUGGGACUGCCAGCCCGCUGUGGGAAACGUCUUGGUCCGGUGAUGCCCGGCGGUGGGCAGCGGGCGCGCGGUGCCAGGGGCCGAACCGCC
rnacentral:lncRNA from 1 species